rnacentral:rRNA from 1 species
UACGUAGGCAGCGAGCGUUGUUCGGAAUUACUGGGCGUAAAGAGUGUGUAGGCGGUGCUCUAAGUUCGGUGUGAAAUCUCCUGGCUUAACUGGGAGGGUGCGCCGAAAACUGGAGUGCUCGAGCGUGGGAGAGGAAAGCGGAAUUCCUGGUGUAGCGGUGAAAUGCGUAGAUAUCAGGAGGAACACCAGUGGCGAAGGCGGCUUCCUGGACCUGUUCUGACACUGAGGAGCGAAAGCGUGGGGAGCGAGCCGG